ensembl:misc_RNA Metazoa_SRP Metazoan signal recognition particle RNA
GCCAGGCCUGGUGGUGCAUGCCUGUAGUCUCAGCUACUCAGGGGGCUGAGGCGGGAGGAUUGCUUGAGGCCAGGAGUUUGAGACCAGCCUGGGCAACACAGCAAGAUGCCAUCUCUACAGAAAGAAAAAAAGUUUUAAUUAAAUUGUUUUAAAAAGAGCUGGGCCCAGUGGCUCACGCCUGUAAUUCCAGCACUUUGGGAGGCUGAAGCGGGUGGAUCACCUGAGAUCAGGAGUUCGAGAACAGCCUGGCCAACAUGGCGAAACCCUGUCUCU